GUCGCGUGAGUGAAGAAGGCCCUUGGGUCGUAAAGCUCUUUUAUGGGGGAAGAUGAUGACGGUACCCCAAGAAUAAGCACCGGCUAACUAUGUGCCAGCAGCCGCGGUAAUACAUAGGGUGCGAGCGUUGUUCGGAAUUACUGGGCGUAAAGGGCGCGCAGGCGGAAUAGUAAGUCGGAGGUGAAAGCCCGGGGCUCAACCCCGGAGGGUCUUUCGAAACUGCUAAUCUAGAGAGGGUCAGGGGCCGGCAGAAUUCCUGGUGUAGAGGUGAAAUUCGUAGAUAUCAGGAGGAAUACCGGUGGCGAAGGCGGCCGGCUGGGGCCACUCUGACGCUGAGGCGCGAAAGCGUGGGGAGCAAACAGGAUUAGAUACCCUGGUAGUCCACGCCGUAAACGAUGAGCACUGGACGUCCGGAGGGUUCGACCCUUCUG
rnacentral:rRNA from 1 species